UUCUGUUUUUUGUUUGUAACGUUUGUAGCGUGCCUGUGUGUUUGUUUGGCCUGGAGCUGUCCUGCCUGGCAGUUAGUGAUGGUAGCUAAUCUGGCAAUCCGUUGGUGUAGUAAUACAUUGUCUGGACUGUUUUGGCAAAGACAUCCAGUCGGCCGCUGGGCUCGUAGUGAAGGGCAGCUGGCACAGAGUCAUCUCCAUAGUGUUUGGCAGAGGCGGAGGGGGAGGCUUGAGUUGCUUGCGAGCAACUGUUCGCAUAGUGCUUGAAUAGUGCUAGAGGAGGGGUAAGCUCGCAGAUGUGGAGUGCUCUUUUUUGUUGUUUGUUUUUUCUCCUGACUUAGAUAAACCUUAGGAGGAACCGGUCCAAGGAAAGAGCGCCUUCUGGAACUGUCAAGCCUUCAUUUGGCAGCUCGGUGACUGGCUUGGUCUACUUGUGAGGUGCUGAGGGAAGUUGUCUGCUGUUCCGAAACGCUGAAAGGCAGCCUGCAACCUAGGACGUCAUCACAGCCAGAGCAGUCUCUGGUAAGGUGUUGUAGCUGGCUUAAGAGGGCAGAUGGAAGCAUCUGCCUCGGGCAGGUGAGCGGGCAGAGGUGUCUCGCACAGACUCAAAGGAGCAAACUGCAUUCUGAAGAGCUGUGUGCCAUGGCAGGCUCUCCACAGAAGUGGCUGAUGAUUUGAGAUAAGACCGGAGAGCGGCAAGGAGCGGCACGUGCAGUUAUGCCUUCCAAGCACUGCGGUUGCUCUGUUCUGAUUAUCAGGUGAAGAGGUGCCUGAAGCCGUGUCUCGUGUGGGCUGAGGACGCCUCACUGAGGAUGAAGCCUGCUUUCCAGCAGGUCCCAAAGCUGUGUUGGCGCUGAAAUGUUGUGUCUGUAUUUGGGUUGGGGUUGUGCCUUGGUGAGUGUGGGGAUGGGUUUUAAGUCGGUGCAGCAGAUAUGUAUAUAAAUGAAAUUCACAUAAGUGAUAUAUGAUGAAGUAUUGUGAAUCCUUGAACUUCUAGCCUACAUUAGCUAAUAUGUAUGGAGUUGCAUGAAACAUUGAGAAGCAGCUUCUAAUAAGCAGGUUUUUGUUGUCAUUAACUCAGCCCAUGCCUUUGCCAUACGUAAAGAUCAAGACAAACUACCUUUUUACACAGGAACUGCUGUGGGUGCACAGAAAGUCCUAGAGGACAUUUAGGGCUGUAUUUUGGUUCCCAAAGUGUUUUUACCUGGUCCAACUGAUUUAUAUUGGCCGAGCCUCUUCAUAGGGUCCCUGUGUGGUUGCAGAGCCUAGCCACGGUGUUUCCACUGCGCUCUAUGCUCCAUCCUCUUCUUUAGAGUCAGCACACCAGCUUCCCCUUGUGCAAUAUCAUCUAAGGCUGGAGUCCUAGGGAAUGCUUAGGUAGCACAGCUAUCCUCCACCCUAAAAGCUUCUUCAUUGCUGUACGUUUUCUUUAAAAGGUGAAUAUUAGUUUAAUUUGCCUAGUUACUUCAGGCAGUUACUCCACAACUACCAAAAGCGAUAGUGAGAAGCCUGCUUCCAGCAUCCGUUCCCCACCUCGGGAUGGACAGAUGGACGCCACUCGAUGCCUUGCCCGCCAGGGGAAGGGGAGAACUACUGGGCAGGGAACCCCACCGCAGCCCCCCUCCUGGGAGUCCUGUAGAGCAGUUUAAUAAAGUUUGCUUUCUGA